GGUGACAUGCAGCCAUAAACCAACUUUGUCUGUUUGUCUUCCUCUUUUGUUUAGCUAUCUGUAUUGACGUUGAAGAAUAUCUAUUGGUUCUAUAAUCAAAUUUGCUGUUGUAGUCCCAGUUAAGAUCAAUAAUGGGGUGUGUAUAUACCUCUGUGUUUAAUUAUCAGGCUUAAAUACACAAUAUAGUUUUACUAUACUCCCCUCUGCUGGUGGUAGCGGUGACAUGCAGCCAUAAACCAGGUGAAGCUCAUAGUGACUAAUGUACUGCUCUGUACCUCGAGAUGAACUUGUUUCUGAACAGAAGUAUAUGUAGUGUCCAGUGUUGCAUAUAAUCUUUUUUUAAUGAUUCAGCUCACAUUUUCUGUGGAUGCAGAGGCUGCGAAAGAAAAUGUAUAGACAGCAUCAUAUAGCUUUCUAUUUGUCUAUCUGUCUGUCUUCCUCUUUCAUUCAGAUGGGUUUUUUUUUUUUCAGCUUCUACAGAAUUCGGUUUUCAGCAGGUUUCCUCACUUGCUUUUGUCCUGUUGUCAGGGCCGCCCCUGGCCAAAUUGGGGCCCUAAGCAGAUUUUUAUUUUGCAUGUAGGGAGGGGCGACGCUGCCUGUUGUCACAUCAGCUGCACACUACUGUAUUCUCGUCAGAUUAAAUCAUUUUCACAGGAACUCAGCAACACGAAAAGGAUGAAGUGGUGGCUCCUGGUCCUUUCUUUGGUGUGUCACAAGAUCACCUGUAAAAAUCAUCAUGUCACUCCCAACAGUCAGAGUAAAGGUCAAAAUAAUCGCGUAGAAGGGAAUACGGCAAAUCCUGGCAAAUCCCAAGGC